rnacentral:misc_RNA from 1 species
AAAAAAAAAAUAAAAAAAACUUUCUACCGUAACUUUAAUUUAUCAUGGCAAAUGUGCAUGUGCUGGAAUCUGUUGCCAUUACGAGGGAGUAUUAACAUUUUUUGUAAUUAGUGAUAAGUGCAAAUAAUGAUGUUGUAAAUUGAAGAGAGAAAAUGUAUUAGUGUACAUAUUAAUCCUUCAUAUAAACUAUUAGAUUUGAUUCAGAUCAAUGACUGAAAAAAUGUAUAAAACUUUUAUUUUACAAGUGUAAUUGGAUCCUAUCUCAU